rnacentral:rRNA from 1 species
AACGAACGCUGGCGGCAUGCCUAACACAUGCAAGUCGAACGAGACCUUCGGGUCUAGUGGCGCACGCGUGCGUAACGCGUGGGAACCUGCCCUUAGGUUCGGAAUAACUCCCCGAAAGGGGUGCUAAUACCGGAUAAUGUAUUCGGACAAAAGAUUUAUCGCCUUUGGAUGGGCCCGCGUUGGAUUAGCUAGUUGGUAGGGUAAAAGCCUACCAAGGCGUCGAUCCAUAGCUGGUCUGAGAGGAUGAGCAGCCACACUGGGACUGAGACACGGCCCAGACUCCUACGGGAGGCAGCAGUGGGGAAUAUUGGACAAUGGGCGAAAGCCUGAUCCAGCAAUGCCGCGUGAGUGAUGAAGUCCUUAGGGUUGUAAAGCUCUUUUACCCGGGAUGAUAAUGACAGUACCGGGAGAAUAAGCACCGGCUAACUCCGUG